rnacentral:misc_RNA from 1 species
AUAGGACCGAAUGGAAUUAAAAAGAUUCCACUUCUUUUUUUGUGGAACUUGAAAUGUACAGCUCGAUUAAGG